rnacentral:lncRNA from 1 species
AACAAAUGAAAGAUUUCUAUAUAUACUCACAAACGUAAAUAAUUCGCGAGAAAAAAAACUAUAUAUGUAAUAUAUCCAUAUAUAGGUUUUGAUGAAAACCCUAAAACUAUAGAUGGUUUAUUCUUCGUGAUCGGUGUUUCAGUGCCGAAACAAAACAUUCAUAGUUUAAAAUUCAGAGAGAACCAAUGCUUCCUAAAGCGUUAACAUUGUAAAAUCCAGACGAGAAAAAACCAGAAAGACCUGCCGACAUCUGAGGAGCAUUAAACACUUCCUCAUCCAACGGUGAAUAAUACUCUCCACGGACCUCUCCAUCCAACGGCUCUAAGUUCAUCUCCGACUCACACGGACGGUGGAGAUCUACGGCGGUAAAAGUGGUGGGCGACGGUGGUAGAUCAGCGGCGUCUUGACCGGUGAGUUCUUGAACAAGCUCUCUGAACUUAGAAGGACAAGUCUCGACUCUCAUCGGAUUUGAUAUGUAACGGACUUUGAUGGGUUUGUGCGUAGUCGUUGACUUCCUCUUCUGCUUAGGUGGGAUCCUAGUCGGAGACGAUGAUGACUUUCUCUGGUUUAUGAGCAACGUUGAUGAUGACUGAUCCAUCUUCUUUAGUUCUUUUGUAAUAUGGAGAAAAAUUUAGAUGAAGGAGAGUGGAAGUUAAUGAGAAAGGAGAAGAAGUUACUGAGAAUUAAGGGAAGAGAGAAGAAACAAACAAAAAAAUUAAUGGCAUUGAAAAAAGUCCUCAUCCGCUGAUAGCCGACGGCGCGUUUAGCCCACGCGCGUUUAAGUUCAUCGUGUCUCCAUGACAUCUUUUACUUAGAUGACAAGUGUGAUUUGUUACUCUUUUUGAUUGAACAUUCUGUUGGACCAAAAAUAUAUAUAUACGGUCGGAC